UUUUUUUUUUUUUUUUGCUUUUUAGGGAUUCACCUACAGCACAUGGAAGUUCCCAGGCUAGGGGUUGAAACGGAACUAUAGCUGCUGGCCAGCACCGCAGCAAUGCAGGAUCCAAGCUGUGUCUUUGACCUACACCAUGGCUCACGGCAAUGCCAAAUCCAUAACCCACUGAGUGGGGCCAGGGAUCAAACCCACAUUCUCAUGGAUACUAGUCAGGUUUGUUUCCACUGAGCCACUGUGGGAACUCCAACAUAGUAUUUUUUUAAUUGAAGUAAGGUUGAUUUACAAUAUUGUGUUAGUUUCAGGAGACACCUAGUGAUUCUAUUUCAUUAUAGGUCAUUAAAAGAUACUGAAUAUAAUUCCCCAUGCAAUACAGUAAAUAUUUGUUGCUUAUCUAUUCUAUGUAGUUUGUAUCUGUUAAUUCCAUACUCAUUUGUCCCUUCCCAUCUCCCUCUCCUCUUUGGUAACGUUUGUUUCCUAUGUCUAUGAAUAGGUUUUUGUUUUACAUACAGAUUAAUUUGUAUUCUUUUUUAGAUUCCACAUGUAAGUGAUAUCACAUAGUAUUUGUCUUUGACUUCACUAAGUAUAAUAUUCUCUAGGUCUAUCCACGUUGCUGCAAAUGGCAGUGCUUCAUUCUUUUUAUGGCUGAGUAAUAUUAAAUUGUGUGCAUAUGUGUACACAUCUUCUUGAGCCAAUCAUCUGGCCAGUGGACACCUGGGUUUUUCCAUGUCUUGGCUAAUUGCAAAUAGUGCUUCCAUGAACAUUGGGGUACAUGUAUCUUUUCUAAUUAGAGGUUUGUUUGUUUGCUUGUUUGUUUUUCUGGUUAUAUGCCCGGGGUGGGAUUGCUGGGUCAUAGGGUACGGGGUGGGAUUGCUGGGUUAUAUGGUAACUCUUUGCAGUUUUUUAAGAAACCUCCACACUGUUUUACAGUGGCUGCACCAAUUUACAUUCUUACCAACAGUGUAUGAGGGUUCCUUUUUCUUCACACCUUCUCCAGCAUUUAUUAUUUGUAGACUUUUUGGUGAUAACUAUUCUGAUCAGUGUGAGGUAAUACUUCAUUGUGGUUCUGACUUUCAUUUCUCUAAUAAUUACUCAUAUUGAAUAUUUUUUCAUGUGCCUGUUUACCAUCUGUAUGUCUUCUUUGGAAAAAUGUCUUUUUAAGUCUUCUACCCAUUUUUCAAUAUUCAGUUGUAAAAAUAAAAUGUUUUGUGACUAAAACUUAUACCAUAUAUGAAAGUGCCAAGUACUUACCAAAGAAUUAAAAUCAAAAUGAUUAUUGAAUUGAAUAAAAUCCAAUUCUAUAAAGUAUCUCAGGUUAUCAAUAAGGAAAAUAGGAUUUAAGAAAAUUAAUGGACUUCUUAAAUACAGGAGGUCAGAGAAAACCAAAGUAAUCAAAGGCAAAGAACAUUAUCUGUCAAAGCACUUAUAUUUAUUGCCAUUAAUAGAAUAUAAAAGAAAAACAAGGAAUUACAUGCAUUUUUGCACAAGAUAAAUAAUAAAAAGUGAUACUUUAAAACAGACUAAAGUGUUAUAACUAGGCACUGAUGUUACAUUUAUUUCUCCAUGUUCAGAGUCCUUAUCUCCUCUAAAUAUUGCCCAACCAAAAUGUCAAAAUCACAUACUACAUGAAUUAAAGGGAUAUUUUUUUCAAUAAAAUAAAUGUUUUUCAUUAAGAACCUACUGUCUGGAGUUCCCUCUGUGUCACGAUGGGUUAAGGAUCUGGCAUUGUCUCUGUGGCAGCACAGGUUCAACCCCCCACCUAGAGCAGAGGGUUAAGGAUGCAGCAUUGCUACAGCUGUGGCAUAGGUUUCAGCUGCAUCUCAGAUUUGAUCCCUGGCCCAGGAACUUCCAUAUGCUGUGGGUACAGUCAAAAAAGAAAAAUAUAACCUAUUGUCUGCACUGCCUAGGCAAAGAGUUAUGAAAAAUACGGAAAUAUGUGUAAUGCAAAAUGAAUCACUCUCCUGAAAAAAAUAGCAUCGCUUUCCAACUUGAUCUACAGAUUCAAUAUAACCUAAUCAAAAUCCUAGUAAGAUAUUUUGUGAAUAUUGGCAAACUGCUUCUAAAGUUUAUAUGGAGAGGCAGAAGACCCAGAAUAGCCCCAGAGUAGCCAACACAAUACUGAAGGAGAAGAACAAAGCUGUAGCACUGACAUUAUUCAAUUUCAGAACUUACCAUGAAACUAUUGUAAUCAAGACAGUGUGAUAUUGGCCAAAGAAUAGACAAGUAAACCAAUGGAAGAGAAUAAGAAGCCCAGAAAUAGAUCCCAUAAAUAUAUCCAACUGAUCUUUGACAAAGGAACAAAGGCAGUACAAUGGAGAAAAGCUAGUCUUUUUAACAAGUGGGGCUGGAACAACUAGACAUCCACAUGCAAAAAAAUUGAAUCUAGACACAGAUGUUAUAUCCUUCACAAAAAUUAACUGAAAAUGGGUCAAAGAUCUAAAUAUAAAAUGCAAAACUAUAAAACUAACAGAUAAUGCUUUUUUAGAUAUAACACAAAAGGCAUGAUUCAAGAAAAAAAUUGAAAAAGCAGAAUUUAAUUAAAAUUGAAAACUUCUGUAAAAGACAAUGUCUAGAGAACAAGACAAGCCACACACUGGAAGAAAAUAUUUACAAAAGAUAUCUGAUAAAGGACUGUUUUCUAACCAAGAACACUUAAAAUUCAACACUAACGGAGUUCCCGUCGUGGCGCAGUGGUUAACGAAUCCGACUAGGAACCAUGAGGUUGCGGGUUUGAUCCCUGGCAUUGCUCAGUGGGUCAAGGUUCCGGCGUUGGCGUGAGCUGUGGUGUAGGUCACAGACGCAGCUCGGAUCCUGCGUUGCUGUGGCUCUGGUGUAGGCUGGCAGCUACAGCUCCNNNNNNNNNNNNNNNNNNNNNNNNNNNNNNNNNNNAAAAAAAAAAAAAAAAAAAAAAAAAAAAAUCAACAUUAAGGAAAAAAAAUGCAACUAAAAAAAAAAAAAAAGACCUUAACACACACUUCACCAUAAAAGAUCUGUAGAUGGUAAAUAAGCAUCCGUCAUUUGGGAAAUGCAAGUUAAAACAAUGAUGACAUAACACCAUGCGCCUAUCAGAAUAGCCAAAAUCCAGAACACUAGACCACCAAAGAUGACCCAAGAUUUGGGGGAAAAGAAUGUGCUCUAUUUUUUGAUCCCUCUUUCAUUUUUUUUCUCACUGCCCAUAAUAUCAUGGUUGAAAGAAAAGAAAAGAGGUUCUAUUGAUUCUUUUGUGUUUUUUUUUCUUUCCUGCUUAACUCACCUCACCAGUUAACAGUAAUUGGCCAUCAAUGCCUGGUGUAAGACUGGCAUUCAAGUUCAGAUUCUCUCACAGUCAAUAUAUGGGUACAUGUCAGGGUCUUUGAGGACCUUUAACAUAGACAGCCAUUUUCCAACAAACUAUUUUGUCUCUUAUUUGACAAAAGAGAAAUUAUUUGAAAGGGCACAUGCAGGUUAUCUUUAGCCUAACUAGUUUUCAUGACGUUCACUUGUCCCAUGGAAAACGUCCCCAUUUACCAUGCCGAACAGUAAUAGCACAGAUGGACUUAGUAGUGCUUACAUUUACAGGCUAUUUUCAACAGACUCUAUUUACAGAAUUCUCUAAAUUGAAUUCUCUGGGUAUUUAUGUUGUCAAGUUUGUUUUUUGGUUUUGUGUGUGUGUGUGUGUGUAUUUUGUUUGUUUGUUUUUGUUUGUUUGUUUGUUUUUUGCUUUUUAGGGCUGUAUCCAUAGCACAUGGAAGUUCCCAGGUGAGGGUUGAAUAGGAGCUACAGCUGCUAGCCCACACUAUAGCCACAGCAACACGGAAUUCGAGCCAUGUCUUCACCCUACACUAUAGCUCACAACACCGGAUCACUGACCCACUGUGCAUGGCCAGGGAUCAAACCCGCAUCCUCAUGGAUACUAGUUGGAUUCAUUUCCACUGUGCCACAAUGGAAACUCCCUUGAAUCAAGCUUUGUAGUGAGAGCCCAAUCAUCUGUUUUGCAGCCAUUCCCAAUUUCUAUGAGUGGUAUUCUUUAAAGACUUCUUACUUAACUUUGGAAGAAGGUAAAUAAAUAGGAAAUUCUCUAUCCCAUUAAUGUCUUCAAAUUCCUAACCUCCUCUUAGAUAGCCUACUUGGGAUGCUGUAGUUAAAAUUAUAAAAUCCUCAUCCCAUAUACUAGUAAAUUAUGGAAACUGUAUCUAAAAAGUUUUACUAUCUUGGGAGUUCCCUUGUGGUGCAGUGGGUUAAGGAUCUAGCUUUGUCACUGCAGCAGCUUAGGUUGCUGCUAUGGUGCAGGAUCAGUUCCUCAAGCACAGUCAAAAAUUAAACAUAAAAAUUAAAAUUGUGUUAUCUUUAUAAUGUGGAGGUACACUAAUAUUACUUUGUGUUUUGAAUGCAAAGUUUCACCUAACGUCCUUAAAUUUCAAGAAAAUGUGCAUGCUACAGUUUGCAUUUUGGUUCAAGAAUAAGAACAUAAAGGAUUCGGUUUAAUGAUUGAAACCAUAGUGUAGAAUGAAAAAAGUUUACUUUAUGAUAAGGUUAAUUUAUAAAAAUUGCAAAAUAUACAUAAGUGCACUCCUGGUAUUAAUUUCCAACUCUUUAACACUGAGAACUAGUAAAGCAUACCCAAGUAUAGCUAAGGGAAAUAUCACAAUCCAGGUCUUUACCUUUUUUGAUAGCUGCUAUUCUGUACUCUAAAUUGUCAUACAAUGCACUCUAUCAUAAAAAGAAUUUUUUCUACCUAGCAACCAAAAAGUGAUAAUAGAAAUACAAAAUUAUCAGACCUAAUUAUUCUGGAAUCAAGUUGUCUCUAUAUCAAAUCAAACAUAGCUUAAAUUACAUUGUUUUCCUCUAGUGCACCUAAUAUAUUCCAGAUUCAAUCUUUCAAAAUAAGGACAAACCACUACCAAUUUGUCUUUCUUCUUACCCUGGUCUGAGGGUGGUAUGUUCUGUCUUGUGUGAUUCUUUUAUUUGUUUUUUUUUUUUCCCCAAAGUAUCUACUAUAGAUCUCAGCACUCCAUCUUUGCAUACUAUCUGGAAUUGAAGCAUUGUCUAUUGAUGCUGCUAUAAGAAGGAUACUAUAGACUGAGUGGCUUUAGCUUUGUAAACAACAGAAUUUUAAUUCUCAAAAUUCUGAAGGCUGGGACAUCCAAGAGCAAGGUACCAGCAGAUUCAGUAUCUGGUGAGAGCCUGCUUACUGAAUCACAAAUGGUCAGCUUCUUCUUUCAGCUUCUUCUUUUGUCCUCACAUGGAAGAAGGAGGAAGGAAGCUCACCAGUAUCCCUUUUAGGAGUUCCCAUCAUGGUGCAGUGGAAGCAAAUCCGACUAGGAACCACGAGAUUGGAGGUUCAAUCCCUGUCCUUGCUCAGUGGGUUAAGGAUCCUGCAUUGCUGUGAGCUGUGGUGUAGGUCGCAGAUGCAGCUUGGGUCUGGUGUUGCUGUGGCUCUGGUGCAGGCUGGCGGCUGUAGCUCCAAUUCGACCCCUAGCCUGGGAAACUCCACAUGACACAGGUGCAACCCUAAAAAAGC
rnacentral:lncRNA from 1 species